rfam:Tatumella ptyseos ATCC 33301 GTPT.assembly.020, whole genome shotgun sequence.
ACUACAGCCUGAACAUUACUAUUAUUACCACCACCAUUACCACAGGUAACGGUGCGGGCUGACGCAUAACAGGAAAAAACGAAAAAGCCCGCACCCUAUCAGGUGUGGGCUUUUUUUUG